rnacentral:rRNA from 1 species
UUCCUACGGGAGGCAGCAGUAAGGGAUAUUGGUCAAUGGGGGAAACCCUGAACCAGCAACGCCGCGUGAGGGAAGACGGUUUUGGGAUUGUAAACCUCUGUCCUCUGUGAAGAUGAUGACGGUACCUGUAGAAUAAGCUCCGGCUAACUACGUGCCAGCAGCCGCGGUAAUACGUAGGGAGCAAGCGUUAUCCGGAUUUAUUGGGUGUAAAGGGUGCGUAGACGGGAAAUUAAGUUAGUUGUGAAAUCCCUCGGCUUAACUGAGGAACUGCAACUAAAACUGAUUUUCUUGAGUGUUGGAGAGGA